rnacentral:rRNA from 1 species
AUUGAACGCUGGCGGCAGGCCUAACACAUGCAAGUCGAGCGAGCGGCGGACGGGUGAGUAAUGUCUGGGAAACUGCCUGAUGGAGGGGGAUAACUACUGGAAACGGUAGCUAAUACCGCAUACCAUCAGAUGUGCCCAGAUGGGAUUAGCUAGUUGGGGGGGUAAUGGCUCACCAAGGCGACGCUCCCUAGCUGGUCUGAGAGGAUGACCAGCCACACUGGAACUGAGACACGGGCCAGACUCCUACGGGAGGCAGCAGUGGGGAAUAUUGCACAAUGGGCGCAAGCCUGAUGCAGCCAUGCCGCGUGGAUGAAGAAGGCCUUCGGGUUGUAAAGUACUUUCAGCGGGGAGGCGUUACCCGCAGAAGAAGCACCGGCUAACUCCGUGCCAGCCGCCGCGGUAAUAC